GCCGAGUGGACAAGGCACCUGCCCGGUAAGCAGAAGGGUGUGGGUUCGAUUCCCGC
rnacentral:tRNA from 1 species